GUUUUAUAGAUAUUAAUUUUAAAUUUGACCUGCUCUAUGAUUUAUUAAAUGGCUGCAGUAUUAUAACUGUACUAAGGUAGCAUAAUAAUUUGUCUUUUAAUUGAAGGCUAGAAUGAAUGGUUUGAUGAAAAAUUAACUUUUUUAUUUUAAUAUUUUGAAUUUAAUUUUUUAGUUAAAAAGCUAAAAUUAUUUUAUAGGACGAGAAGACCCUAUAGAAUUUUAUUUUUUUUAUAUUUUUAUUAUUUUUGUUAAUUUUAUUUUAGAACUAUAUUAAUAAUUUUGUUGGGGUGAUAUAAAAAUUUUUUUAACUUUUUAUUUAUUUUUCAUUGAUUUAUGUAUUUUUGAUCCUAAAUUUUAGAUUAAAAGAUUAAAUUACCUUAGGGAUAACAGCGUUAUUUUUUUUGAUAGUUCUUAUUGAUGAAAAAGUUUGCGA
rnacentral:rRNA from 1 species